UACGUAGGGUACGAGCGUUGUCCGGAAUUAUUGGGCGUAAAGAGCUUGUAGGUGGCUUGUCGCGUCUGCCGUGAAAACCCGAGGCUCAACCUCGGGCGUGCGGUGGGUACGGGCAGGCUAGAGUGUGGUAGGGGAGACUGGAACUCCUGGUGUAGCGGUGAAAUGCGCAGAUAUCAGGAAGAACACCGAUGGCGAAGGCAGGUCUCUGGGCCAUUACUGACACUGAGAAGCGAAAGCAUGGGUAGCGAACAGGAUUAGAUACCCGCGUA
rnacentral:rRNA from 1 species